GGCCGCGGGAAUUCGAUUCAGGCCUAACACAUGCAAGUCGUACGAGAGUUUUUAACUCAAGUGGCGGACGGGUGAGUAACACGUAAGAACGUGCCUUUAGGAGGGGGACAACAACUGGAAACGGUUGCUAAUACCCCAUAUGCUUUCGAGUGAAAUGGAUUUCUCCGCCUAAAGAGAAGCUUGCGGCUGAUUAGCUUGUUGGUAAGGUAAUGGCUUACCAAGGCGACGAUCAGUAUCUGGUUUGAGAGGAGGAUCAGACACACUGGAACUGAGACACGGUCCAGACUCCUACGGGAGGCAGCAGUGGGGAAUUUUCCGCAAUAGGGGAAAGCCUGACGGAGCAAUACCGCGUGAGGGAUUUAGGAGUAUGGGUUUAAACCUCUUUUUCAGGGAGGAAUAAAUGA
rnacentral:rRNA from 1 species